GUUUCAUAACGCUGAUGUGACACACACCUCUAAUAUGUGCUUUGCUCGCACUGAAUAGAUGAGAUUAUGCAAAAUGCUUAACAGUUCCUCGUCACCUCUUCACACACACACACUCACACACACACACACACACUCACACACACACAUUUCUCAAGCCCAGGUUGAACCUGUUGUUCGUACACCAUGUUUGGAUACACAGUGUUUGCAGGAUAAGCAACCAGCUGCGGUUUUCACACUCACACACACGUUUGCAGGUGCUGUUGCACUUACGGGGACCAGAGUUCCUCCUAAACACUUCAAGUUACAUGCUGCAGGAUAAUGCUUCUCCAACUUAUACUGACCCUGCUGGCCGAAUUUAAAGACCCCUCAAACAGCCGAACUCGUGAAUACCGGAUUCAGAUGAAGUAGGUUUGUUAGCAGUCGAGCAAGACAGCACACACACCGACUGGAACCAGAUAUUUGAUCAAACAUCAAUCCCGGACCCUCCAAGGUGAACCCUGGACCCCGCUUUCUUUGUUUGUUAAUAUUAAUGUUCUUUUGGAUAUGUUCUGUUAAUAAACAAGUCCAUCCU